rnacentral:rRNA from 1 species
GACGAACGCUGGCGGCGUGCCUAAUACAUGCAAGUGGGACGCAAGGAAACACACUGUGCUUGCACACCGUGUUUUCUUGAGUCGCGAACGGGUGAGUAACGCGUAGGUAACCUGCCUAUUAGCGGGUGAUAACUAUUGGAAACGAUAGCUAAUACCGCAUAAUAUUAAUUAUUGCAUGAUAAUUGAUUGAAAGAUGCAAGCGCAUCACUAGUAGAUGGACCUGCGUUGUAUUAGCUAGUUGGUAAGGUUAGAGCUUACCAAGGCCACGAUACAUAGCCGACCUGGGAGGGUGGUCGGCCACACUGGGACUGAGACACGGCCCAGACUCCUACGGGAGGCAGCAGGAGGGAAUCUUCGGCAAUAGGCGAAAGGCUGGCCGAGCAACGCCGCGGGAGUGAAGGAGGUUCUCGGGUCGGAAAGCUCUGUUGUAAGGGAAGAACGAGUGUGAGAGUGGAAAGUUCACACAGUGACGGUAGCUAACCAGAAAGGGACGGCUAACUACGUG